rnacentral:tRNA from 1 species
GGGAUACAGCAGGAAAGGCAUGGCCGCUGACUCUUAAUCAGCGGGUCCUAGGUUCGAGCCCUAGUGCGUCCACCA